rnacentral:rRNA from 1 species
AGCAGUGAGGAAUAUUGGACAAUGGGCGAGAGCCUGAUCCAGCCAUGCCGCGUGCAGGAAGACUGCCCUAUGGGUUGUAAACUGCUUUUGUACAGGAAGAAACACUCCCUCGUGAGGGAGCUUGACGGUACUGUAAGAAUAAGGAUCGGCUAACUCCGUGCCAGCAGCCGCGGUAAUACGGAGGAUCCAAGCGUUAUCCGGAAUCAUUGGGUUUAAAGGGUCCGUAGGUGGAUGAUUAAGUCAGAGGUGAAAUCCUGCAGCUCAACUGUAGAAUUGCCUCUGAUACUGGUUGUCUUGAAUUAUUGUGAAGUAGUUAGAAUAUGUGGUGUAGCGGUGAAAUGCAUAGAUAUCACAUAGAAUACCGAUUGCGAAGGCAGAUUACUAACAAUACAUUGACACUGAUGGACGAAAGCGUGGGGAGCGAACAGGAUUAGAUACCCUGGUAGUCCACGCCGUAAACGAUGGAUACUAGCUGUUCGGAUUUAUCUGAGUGGCUAAGCGAAAGUGAUAAGUAUCCCACCUGGGGAGUACGUUGC